ACAAGCAGUGGAGUAUGUGGUUUAAUUCGAAGCAACGCGAAGAACCUUACCAGGGCUUGACAUCCCUUGAAGCAGCUAGAGAUAGCUGUGUCCUUCGGGACAAGGAGACAGGUGGUGCAUGGUUGUCGUCAGCUCGUGUCGUGAGAUGUUGGGUUAAGUCCCGCAACGAGCGCAACCCUCGACCUUAGUUGCCAGCAUUCAGUUGGGCACUCUAAGGUGACUGCCGGCUAAAAGUCGGAGGAAGGUGGGGAUGACGUCAAAUCAUCAUGCCCCUUAUGACCUGGGCUACACACGUGCUACAAUGGGCGGUACAAAGGGUCGCGAACCCGCGAGGGGGAGCCAAUCCCAAAAAGCCGCUCUCAGUUCGGAUUGCAGGCUGCAACUCGCCUGCAUGAAGCCGGAAUCGCUAGUAAUCGCGGAUCAGCAUGCCGCGGUGAAUACGUUCCCGGGCCUU
rnacentral:rRNA from 1 species